rnacentral:rRNA from 1 species
GACGAACGCUGGCGGCGUGCCUAAUACAUGCAAGUCGAGCGAGCUGAAUUCAAAGAUUCCUUCGGGAUGAUUUGUUGGACGCUAGCGGCGGAUGGGUGAGUAACACGUGGGCAAUCUGCCCUAAAGACUGGGAUACCACUUGGAAACAGGUGCUAAUACCGGAUAACAACAUGAAUCGCAUGAUUCAAGUUUGAAAGGCGGCGCAAGCUGUCACUUUAGGAUGAGCCCGCGGCGCAUUAGCUAGUUGGUGGGGUAAAGGGCCUACCAAGGCGAUGAUGCGUAGCCGAGUUGGGAGACUGAUCGGCCACAUUGGGACUGAGACACGGCCCAAACUCCUACGGGAGGCAGCAGUAGGGAAAUCUUCCACAAUGACGCAAGUCUGAUGGAGCAACGCCGCGUGAGUGAAGAAGGUUUUCGGAUCGUAAAGCUCUGUGUUGGUGAGAAGGAUAGGAGCAAGUAACUGGCCUUUAUUUGACGGU